rnacentral:rRNA from 1 species
CCUACGGGGUGCAGCAGUGAGGAAUAUUGGUCAAUGGCCGGAAGGCUGAACCAGCCAAGCCGCGUGAAGGACGAAGGUGCCAAGCAUUGUAAACUUCUUUUGUCAAGGGACAAAAUCAGGCUCGAGAGCCUGACCGAAGGUACUUGAAGAAAAAGCAUCGGCUAACUCCGUGCCAGCAGCCGCGGUAAUACGGAGGAUAGGAGGGUUAUCCGGAUUUAUUGGGUUGAAAGGGUGAGUAGGCGGGCUGUUAAGUCAGCGGUAAAAGGCCGGGGCUCAACCCCGGCGAGCCGUUGAAAAUGGCUGUCUUGAGAUGUCGAGAGGUAUGCGGAAUG